rnacentral:rRNA from 1 species
AAUAGAUACCCAGGUAGUCCACGCCCUAAACGAUGUCAACUAGCUGUUGGGGUUUAUUAACCUUAGUAGCGCAGCUAACGCGUGAAGUUGACCGCCUGGGGAGUACGGUCGCAAGAUUAAAACUCAAAGGAAUUGACGGGGACCCGCACAAGCGGUGGAUGAUGUGGAUUAAUUCGAUGCAACGCGAAAAACCUUACCUACCCUUGACAUGUCUGGAAUCCCGAAGAGAUUUGGGAGUGCUCGCAAGAGAACCGGAACACAGGUGCUGCAUGGCUGUCGUCAGCUCGUGUCGUGAGAUGUUGGGUUAAGUCCCGCAACGAGCGCAACCCUUACCAUUAGUUGCUACAUUCAGUUGGGCACUCUAAUGGGACUGCCGGUGACAAACCGGAGGAAGGUGGGGAUGACGUCAAGUCCUCAUGGCCCUUAUGGGUAGGGCUUCACACGUCAUACAAUGGUCGGGACAGAGGGUUGCCAAGCCGCGAGGUGGAGCCAAUCUCAGAAACCCGAUCGUAGUCCGGAUCGCAGU